UAUUGCACAAUGGGCGCAAGCCUGAUGCAGCGACGCCGCGUGGGGGAUGACGGCCUUCGGUUUGUAAACUCCUUUCGCUAGGGAUGAAGCUUUUUGUGACGGUACCUAGAGAAGAAGCACCGGCUAACUACGUGCCAGCAGCCGCGGUAAUACGUAGGGUGCGAGCGUUGUCCGGAAUUACUGGGCGUAAAGGGCGCGUAGGUGGUUUGUCGCGUCGUCUGUGAAAUUCCGGGGCUUAACUCCGGGCGUGCAGGCGAUACGGGCAUAACUUGAGUACUGUAGGAGUAACUGGAAUUCCUGGUGUAGCGGUGAAAUGCGCAGAUAUCAGGAGGAACACCGAUGGCGAAGGCAGGUUACUGGGCAGUUACUGACGCUGAGGAGCGAAAGCAUGGGUAGCGAACAAG
rnacentral:rRNA from 1 species